UUCUGGUUGAUCCUGCCAGAGGCGACCGCUUUUGGAGUUCGAUUAAGCCAUGCGAGUAGAAAGAAAUUAGAUUCUUUGCAAACUGCUCAGUAACACGUGGAUAACCUGCCCUAUGCUCCGGAAUAACCUCGGGAAACUGAGAAUAAUACCGGAUAGAUCACAACGCCUGGAACGGUGUGUGGUUCAAAGGUCACGGCAUAGGAUGGGUCUGCGGCGUAUCAGGUCGUAGGGGGUGUAACGGACCUCCUAGCCAUCGACGCGUACGGGUGUUGGGAGACAUAGCCCGGAGAUGGAUUCUGAGACACGAAUCCAGACCCUACGGGGUGCAGCAGGCGCGAAAACUUCACACUGCAGGAAACUGUGAUGAGGGAACUCCAAGUGCGCGCACUUAGUGUGCGCUUUUCUUGACUAUUAAUCGGUCAUGGAAUAAGGGCUGGGAAAGACCGGUGCCAGCCGCCGCGGUAAUACCGGCAGCUCAAGUGGUCGUCGCUUUUAUUGGGCCUAAAACGUCCGUAGCCUGUUUGGUAAAUCUGUGGGUAAAUCAACCAGCUUAACUGGUUGAAUUCUGCAGAGACUGCCAGACUAGGGACCGGGAGAGGUGUGGGGUACUCUAGGGGUAGGGGUAAAAUCCUGUCAUCCUUAGAGGACCACCAGUUGCGAAGGCGCCACACUGGAACGGAUCCGACGGUCAGGGACGAAGCCUAGGGGCACGAACCGGAUUAGAUACCCGGGUAGUCCUAGGUGUAAACGCUGUGAACUUGGUGUC
rnacentral:rRNA from 1 species